GGGGGGUUGAUGUUGUCGCUGCUAACGAUUAUUGGAAUUUUUUAUUAGUUCGCCUCCUU
rnacentral:tRNA from 1 species